UCGGGAAUUUUGGGCAAUGGGCGAAAGCCUGAUCCAGCAAUGCCGCGUGCAGGAAGAAGGCCUUCGGGUUGUAAACUGCUUUUGUACGGAACGAAAAGGCUCUUUCUAAUAAAGAGGGCCCAUGACGGUACCGUAAGAAUAAGCACCGGCUAACUACGUGCCAGCAGCCGCGGUAAUACGUAGGGUGCGAGCGUUAAUCGGAAUUACUGGGCGUAAAGCGUGCGCAGGCGGUUCUAUAAGACAGAUGUGAAAUCCCCGGGCUCAACCUGGGAAUGGCAUUUGUGACUGUAGAGCUAGAGUACGGUAGAGGGGGAUGGAAUUCCGCGUGUAGCAGUGAAAUGCGUAGAUAUGCGGAGGAACACCGAUGGCGAAGGCAAUCCCCUGGACCUGUACUGACGCUCAUGCACGAAAGCGUGGGGAGCAAACGGGAUUAGAUACCCACGUAGUCCCUGAGCGGGCUGGCAAGGCGCAU
rnacentral:rRNA from 1 species